rnacentral:rRNA from 1 species
GCCCAUAAGAGGGGGGAUAACAUCCGGAAACGGGUGCUAAUACCGCAUAGUUUUCUUGAUCGCAUGAUCGGGAAAGGAAAGACGGCCUUUGUGCUGUCGCUUAUGGAUGGACCCGCGGCGUAUUAGUUAGUUGGUGAGGUAACGGCUCACCAAGACGAUGAUACGUAGCCGACCUGAGAGGGUGAUCGGCCACAUUGGGACUGAGACACGGCCCAAACUCCUACGGGAGGCAGCAGUAGGGAAUCUUCCGCAAUGGACGAAAGUCUGACGGAGCAACGCCGCGUGAGUGAAGAAAAGGUUUUCGGAUCGUAAAACUCUGUUGUCAGAGAAGAACAAGUUGGAGAGUAACUGCUCCAGCCUUGACGGUAUCUGACCAGAAAGCCACGGCUAACUACGUGCCAGCAGCCGC